GUCACUCUCACUCUCUCUCUCUCUGAAAACCUCCCCCCCCCUCCCCCCUCUCUCUGAAACCCCUUUUCAUCUCUGUCAUCGCCAUUGGAAGAUUGAUGCAGGGGUACCGUAGACAAUGGAAACGAUUGUUCACGGCUAGGAUCGAUCCUCACCUCGAAGGGCGUGGGACAUCUUGAUCAACCGAGGUAUCGGCUGCAGGUCAUGCGUUAGUUGGUGGAAACAGUUCUAAAUAGUCAUGGCCACGGAAUUGAGGAUGCCAUUGAGAGUCUCAAUACACUUUACCUUGGUGAUGUCUCUGCAAAAAAUGAAUCUUCGGGCCAUGAUUCUAUGGUCAUUGCAAACAGCAAUGCGGUUCAAGGUCAUGAUAAUACUCAAACAUCUGAGCAGAAGGUUAAAGCGACACAUAAUGACAAUUCACAUGUCAAAUUUGGUGUCCCUGAAAAUGGGUCAUCUUGGGUGGAUAUUUUUAUACAAGAGAUGAUGAAUUCAUCAGCUCUUCAUGAUGCACGUGUUCGUGCGAUGAGAAUGUUGGAGGCUUUUGAAAGGAGUGUAAUUGGUAACUACAGGCAAUCAGAGGAGCAUGAAAUCGCUUCACUGAAAGAGCAAUGGCAGAUCUUGCUAAGGGACAACCAGAUCCUGAAAAGAGCUGUUGCCAUUCAACACGAGAGGAAUUUGGAACAGGAGGACAAGGUGAAGGAAGUGCAACAGCUGAAACAUGUGAUCGGCCAGUACCAAGAACAAGUCCGGACUUUGGAGGAAGGGAUUAUGAGACAAGAAACUACAGUUUUGAGUGAGUGAACCAAGCUAUGGAUGAACAGCUUGCAACGUGUUAGAUCUUUGUGGCAAACAGAUGGUACUCUUAUGCUGGAUGUGUUUUGCCAUAGACUGAGUGCUCAGAAAGACAGGAGCAUUUGACACAUCAUCCACAGUCCCUCAAAUUGCUAAGUUGGUGGGAUUUUCAAGUUCUAUGAAUUGGUUUGGUCGUCUAUAUGCGUAUUCUGAUUUUUAGUCACUUUAGUGCAUGCUUGCUCAAGGCCCAAUAAUAUGUUUCUUCUUGAUAGUUGGCUCAAGGCCACCAAUGAACAGCUCAGUUGCUUGCAAUUCACACAGAACUUCCAUACAGGUAUUGCUCUCUGUGCAUUCUAUAAUUUCAAUCUAGAUUAGUUCCAUCUUUUAUUUCUGCAACUGUUGGAAUAUGCAUUGAGGAAUUAGACACCAUAGCCAUGUGGGUCAAUUUUCUUGAAAUUUGGAUCAUUCAUCAUGCAGUCCUCAUUUUGGGUGAGUCAGCCCACAAUAUUUCCCUGGUUUCACAAUCUUAACAGCGUGCAAAUCCUUGGAGAAAUAUGAACAUUCACUUGGGACUGUCAAUGGGUCGGGUACAGACGUGGGAUCCUACAGUACCAGUAGGCUAACCACAUUCAGGUUUUUCCAGAGCUGGGUCCUUUUGGGUCCUACACAUGUGACCCGUAGGCUAACUGCAUUCAGGUCUUGCCAGAGCUGGGUCCUUUUGGGUCCUACACAUUUGCCACUUCGGUACAUGUUUGGUGUAUAAAUGGGCUCUCUCACAUGUGUGUGGCUUAGGAAACCUUAUUCCAUUUCUAAGAUCAUCAAAAUGUAUUAAAAAUCUGAGUGUUAGUGUAAAAAAUUAACUGGACCCAACCCGGACUCAACUUUAACAGGGUCCUUUACAUGUACCCAACCGAAAUCGACUAGACCCGAUUUUUAACCGCCCAACCAUUUCCUAGCAUGUCCAAAUGAUGGGACCUGAACAGAUCAAAACUAGGUUGGGUCCAUUGGGUACCCAUUGACAGCCCUACAUCCAAUCAGUUGUAUUUUUGGGUUUGAGUCAUCCUUUGAUAGUCCAAUCUCUAUGAGGUAUUUGCUAGUCUAUAGGUUUAUUCUUUCUUCUUCAAUGGUUUUUCUUUCUAAUUUCCACAUCUCUAGGAUUAUCUAGGAAAACACUGAUGAUGGGGUUUUUCUAGGCUUCCUUAAAAUUAUGGGGGUUUUCUAGUCAAUUUAAGUCAUAGAUCUUUGUGUGGCAUUCCGUCUGUGGUCGCGAGGGGAUCCAGGGAUCUCGGGUUUUCAUGUACAGGAGGAAAGAAGGGCCCGCGGCAAUAUAUGCUCGCAAGAGGGGUGAGCGACAACCCUGUUAGGUUUUGCUUUUCCCAUUAGAGGUGGUGAGGGCUUUGUUGUUUCCACUACCCAAGCUAAACCUGGCCAGACCUCAAGGACAGAGGCUUACCACGAGCUGGAGUGUGUGAGAAUCGAACAGUGCCAUUACAUAAUGCACCUGAUGGUUCCCAAAAGGGGGAAGACUUGUCCGAUGGGUAAGGGGUCGUUCGGGAGCGUGUAUUUGAUAUCCUUUGGCAGCUGCCAUGGAAUCCAUGAGAAUUUGAAUCACCAAUUGUCUGUCAAGCUAGAAUCCACUUGAAUCCAUGUGAAGGGUUGUUUGAGAGUGUGUAUUUGAUAUGCAUUAGCAAUUACCAUAGAAUCGAUGAGAAUUGGAAUCACCAGUUGUGUUUGGCAGCCUAUAUUUGAAAGAAAGUGAGAGAGACGACUAUAAUUAGUAGUGUGCGUGCCUGCAAUCUGGUAAUCGGAAUCACCAAGUUGUGUUUGGCAGCCUAUGUUUGGAAGAGAGAGUGAGAGACAACUAUAAUCGAUAGUGUGUGUAACCGUUCAUAUUACUAAGUUCUUUUUAAGUUAUCAAAUGCCAUGACUAUUUCAUGUUGUGAGGACUACUUUGGCUCUGGAUCUGCCUCAUUUUUUGGAUCAUGCCCUAAAAUGUGCUGGUAGAAAAGAUGGACAGCGUGGAUUAGACAUACGUCACGGUGGGUCCCAUGGAUUUUUCGGCCGCUUGAUUUCAUGCAUUCAAUCAUGAAAACUGAUGUAUAAUUAAGCAUGCAUUUUCCUUCUAAACUGUCUUUGACAAGUCAUAAUUGUUUAUUUACCACUAUUGACGUUGGUAAAUAAAAAAUCAAACACCCCCUAUUAGUAUUGUACCAUGUUUGCUAUAUUGGUGUAUUUUGCACAUGAAAGUCAGUUUCAUGUA